CCUACGGGAGGCAGCAGUGGGGAAUAUUGGGCAAUGGGCGCAAGCCUGACCCAGCAACGCCGCGUGAAGGAAGAAGGUUUUCGGGUUGUUAACCUCUUUUGUCAGGGACGAAGCAAGUGACGGUACCUGACGAAUAAGCCACGGCUAACUACGUGCCAGCAGCCGCGGUAAUACGUAGGUGGCAAGCGUUAUCCGGAUUUACUGGGUGUAAAGGGCGUGUAGGCGGGACUGCAAGUCAGAUGUGAAAACCACGGGGUCAACCUGUGGCCUGCAUUUGAAACUGUGGUUCUUGAGUACUGGAGAGGUAGACGGAAUGCCUAGUGUAGCGGUGAAAUGCGUAGAUAUUAGGAGGAACACCAGUGGCGAAGGCAGUCUGCUGGACAGCAACUGACGCUGAGGCGCGAAAGCGUGGGGAGCAAACAGGAUUAGAUACCCGGGUAGUC
rnacentral:rRNA from 1 species